UACAGAGGUCCCGAGCGUUGUUCGGAAUUACUGGGCGUAAAGGGCGCGUAGGCGGCAGGCCAAGUCGGGAGUGAAAGCCCGGGGCUCAACCCCGGAAUGUCUUUCGAAACUGGCCAGCUGGAGUGCGGAAGAGGCAACUGGAAUUCCCAGUGUAGCGGUGAAAUGCGUAGAUAUUGGGAAGAACACCUGAGGCGAAGGCGGGUUGCUGGGCCGACACUGACGCUGAGGCGCGAAAGCCAGGGGAGCAAACGGG
rnacentral:rRNA from 1 species